GACGAACGCUGGCGGCGUGCCUAAUACAUGCAAGUAGAACGCUGAAGGAGGAGCUUGCUCUUCUUGGAUGAGUUGCGACCGGGUGAGUAACGCGUAGGUAACCUGCCUGGUAGCGGGGGAUAACUAUUGGAAACGAUAGCUAAUACCGCAUAAUAGUAGAUGUUGCAUGACAUUUGCUUAAAAGGUGCAAUUGCAUCACUACCAGAUGGACCUGCGUUGUAUUAGCUAGUUGGUGAGGUAACGGCUCACCAAGGCAACGAUACAUAGCCGACCUGAGAGGGUGAUCGGCCACACUGGGACUGAGACACGGCCCAGACUCCUACGGGAGGCAGCAGUAGGGAAUCUUCGGCAAUGGACGGAAGUCUGACCGAGCAACGCCGCGUGAGUGAAGAAGGUUGUCGGAUCGUAAAGCUCGGUUGUAAGAGAAGAACGAGUGUGAGAGUGGAAAGUUCACACUGUGACGGUAGCUUACCAGAAAGGGACGGCUAACUACGUG
rnacentral:rRNA from 1 species